GGCGUCAGGGAGCCGCUAUCAAUAUGCGGGAGACUCCCUGAACUUCCGGGAGACUUGGGAUGUCUGUCUCUGGCUUCGCGAAAGUGCGUUGAGUGCGUGAGGAUGCCAUCAAGGCAUGUGAGCAGCUCAUCAACUGGGGUUACUUUACAGCCAGGGUCUUCAGCUUGCUUGGCCUCAACAAGUCGUUCAACAUAUGCACCUGCCCAUAUGAACACAUGAUUUAGCUUAACUUCGUCAUAUUCCUCAUGGGGGGGGGCAUUAACAAUUCACAAAACCUCUUUGUGCCACAGGCGAUAUUGGUUAUACACAUCUCUGGAGCUCCAAUCGACUUGUGUUUGAGGAAGACAGCUACACACACACACAAACAGAGACUAUUGGACCCAAUACAUCGGAAUGGGCAAAGCUUCUCUCACCAUUCAUCACCCCUCCAGUCUGGAGCACUCUAUCACUGAGCCGGACCACGGAAAGGUUGUGGACACGACCCCCACCAUGAUCCGGAUGACGCAGAGGGAUGGUGCGUUGAUAGGGUGUGGCGGUCGCGUCGUCUUCAGGAAGGUGUCCGAGCGUGAGGCGAACAGAUACUCCGAGCUCGACUGCUUCUCUGCCUAUGGGGGGAAAAAGAACGGCAGGCAGGCAUGGACCAGGAAUGACCUGAACCUCAAAAGUGAAGUGAAGUGGGCCAGUGAUUCUGAAAUGAUCAUCACCAUCACAUUAUGAGGAAGAGAAAGAUUGAGGGGAAAAAGACAUAGAAAUGGCAGAUGCUUUGUGAAAUGUUCUGUAUGUGUUUGAGGCCAGCUUUCUCACUCUAUCUAUCUCUCUCUCUCAGAAAUAAAAACUCUAGGUUACAUAAAUCACUAUCUUUGUACUUGAUUUGAUGUUUGUGUUAUCAGAGGUUGUAUGUGGGGUGGUACAUUGUGUUCUACUCAGCGCCAGAGAACAGGUGCUGUCCAGAUGGGAACUCUUUAGCUAAGCAAGAUUUACUUACACACUGUGUUACAUUCAUUUAAGUGUUAUACAAUGAUUCUGUGCAACUGCACGUCCAGCAUGAUAUUGAUACGUACAAAGGCCAAUCAUUCUGCCAUACUGGUUGAUUCCUCUAAUAAACUGUGAUGCUUGUGAGAACACCA